CGUAACAAGGUCUCCGUUGGUGAACCAGCGGAGGGAUCAUUACUGAGUUUACGCUCUACAACCCUUUGUGAACAUACCUAUAACUGUUGCUUCGGCGGGUAGGGUCUCCGCGACCCUCCCGGCCUCCCGCCUCCGGGCGGGUCGGCGCCCGCCGGAGGAUAACCAAACUCUGAUUUAACGACGUUUCUUCUGAGUGGUACAAGCAAAUAAUCAAAACUUUUAACAACGGAUCUCUUGGUUCUGGCAUCGAUGAAGAACGCAGCGAAAUGCGAUAAGUAAUGUGAAUUGCAGAAUUCAGUGAAUCAUCGAAUCUUUGAACGCACAUUGCGCCCGCCAGCAUUCUGGCGGGCAUGCCUGUUCGAGCGUCAUUUCAACCCUCAAGCUCUGCUUGGUGUUGGGGCCCUACAGCUGAUGUAGGCCCUCAAAGGUAGUGGCGGACCCUCUCGGAGCCUCCUUUGCGUAGUAACUUUACGUCUCGCACUGGGAUCCGGAGGGACUCUUGCCGUAAAACCCCCAAUUUUCCAAAGGUUGACCUCGGAUCAGGUAGGAAUACCCGCUGAACUUAAGCAUAUCAAU
rnacentral:rRNA from 1 species